ACUGCUCAGUAACACGUAUAGGAAUUGGCGGGGGAGCACAUACGGCUCAGUAACACGUAGUCAACAUGCCCAGGGGACGUGGAUAACCUCGGGAAACUGAGGAUAAACCGCGAUAAGUCACUACUUCUGGAAUGGGUAAUGACUAAAAUCUACAUGGCCCCUGGAUUGGACUGCGGCCGAUCAGGCUGUUGGUGAGGUAAUGGCCCACCAAACCUGUAACCGGUACGGGCUCUGAGAGGAGGAGCCCGGAGAUGGGCACUGAGACAAGGGCCCAGGCCCUAUGGGGCGCAGCAGGCGCGAAACCUCUGCAAUAGGCGAAAGCCUGACAGGGUUACUCUGAGUGAUUUCCGUUAAGGAGAUCUUUUGGCACCUCUAAAAAUGGUGCAGAAUAAGGGGUGGGCAAGUCUGGUGUCAGCCGCCGCGGUAAUACCAGCACCCCGAGUGGUCGGGACGUUUAUUGGGCCUAAAGCAUCCGUAGCCGGUUCUACAAGUCUUCCGUUAAAUCCACCUGCUUAACAGAUGGGCUGCGGAAGAUACUAUAGAGCUAGGAGGCGGGAGAGGCAAGCGGUACUCGAUGGGUAGGGGUAAAAUCCGUUGAUCCAUUGAAGACCACCAGUGGCGAAGGCGGCUUGCCAGAACGCGCUCGACGGUGAGGGAUGAAAGCUGGGGGAGCAAACCGGAUUAGAUACCCGGGUAGUCCCAGCUGUAAACGAUGCAGACUCGGUGAUGAGUUGGCUUCUUGCCAACUCAGUGCCGCAGGGAAGCCGUUAAGUUUGCCGCCUGGGGAGUACGGUCGCAAGACUGAAACUUAAAGGAAUUGGCGGGGGAGCAC
rnacentral:rRNA from 1 species